rnacentral:rRNA from 1 species
GACGACGCUGGCGGCGUGCCUAACACAUGCAAGUCGAACGGUCCGGCACUCAACCGACCCUCAGUCUAACUGUAGGGGAAGUUGAGUGCCGGGUAGUGGCGGACGGGUGAGUAACGCGUGGGCAACCAACCCUGUACAGUGGGAUAACACCGGGAAACCGGUGCUAAUACCGCAUGACACCUAUAUGGUGCAUACCGUAUAGGUUAAAGGAUUUAACCGGUACAGGACGGGCCCGCGUCCCAUUAGCUAGUUGGUGAGGUAACGGCCCACCAAGGCGACGAUGGGUAGCCGACCUGAGAGGGUGACCGGCCACACUGGGACUGAGACACGGCCCAGACUCCUACGGGAGGCAGCAGUGGGGAAUAUUGCGCAAUGGGGGGAACCCUGACGCAGCGACGCCGCGUGAGCGACGAAGGCCUUCGGGUCGUAAAGCUCUGUUCUUGGGGACGAAGGAAAUGACGGUACCCAAGGAGAAAGCCCCGGCUAACUACGUG